rnacentral:rRNA from 1 species
GACGUAGGGUGCUAGCGUUGUUCGGAAUCACUGGGCGUAAAGGGCGCGUAGGCGGCCUCAGGUGUCGGAUGUGAAAGCCCGGGGCUCAACCCCGGAGGUGCAUCCGAAACUCUGGGGCUGGAGGUCGGAAGAGGAGGGUGGAAUACCCAGUGUAGAGGUGAAAUUCGUAGAUAUUGGGUGGAACACCGGUGGCGAAAGCGGCUCUCUGGUCCGGACCUGACGCUGAGGCGCGAAAGCGUGGGGAGCAAACAGG